GGCCCCCAGGAACUUCCUGUUCUAGGACACCCCCAGCAAGUCAGGGCCCCUCCUGACCAGGGACCAAGGCUUCGGAGAAGACUCUGGAGAAGGCUCGGAGGAAACUGGGAAGCUGGUUCUUUGGCCCAAAGUGCUUUUACAGCCUACCUGUAUUUUACCGGCCCUCCUAGACGGGGGGAACUCCCCUGUCCUCUGCAGGAAUGUCAAAAGCCACCCAUCUUUAACCACCUAAUGCUCCCAUCAGCAGAGAGGCACACAGCACAGUGAACGUCGAGCAUGCACACCAGGAAGCCCAGGUUCGAGUUCUGACCGUCACUUACUGGUGGUAAUGAUGGUACUAGAUGUCAGAGUCAAGGGAGCUGAGGAAGGCAUCCAAGUAAGGAGGUGGCGUGGGCACUCCCUGACAAGGCUACACGAGUGCA
rnacentral:lncRNA from 1 species